GGGAGUCCAUGCUCCACCGGCAUUUGCUGCUAUAACAACAACAGCGCCAAGAAGCUUUCGGUAUUCUGAAGGUGGUGCCAGUUUCCUCAGUAAGGAGACCAUCACAAUUGUAGAAGUCAGAUUGUCAAGGAUUGAACUGAGGAAGAAAGUCACAAAACCUACCACCCAAAGCAGAGUUAUUGGCUUGCGAGUAGUGAUGUUGUCUGUAACCAGCUUAAAUCCCUGAUGAGCAUCAACUAUCUCAACAAUGGUCAUCGCACCAAGCAAAAAGAACACUAUUUCACUAACUUCAGCAGUCGCAUGUGACAACUGGGAAAGAGCUAUGUCAUUUGAAGGGGCCCCAAUGCUUCGAAUGACCCAUAAACUCACGGCCAUCAGAAGUCCUACUCCACUUUUGUUGAAAGCAAGGGACUCUUCAAAUAUGAUGCCCAUAUAUCCUACUCCAAACAGCAACGCCAUUGCAAUAUCCUGAUUUGCAGCCACCCAUGAUUGAUUUAUUGCUAUUGUACCGGUGACAGCCGCAGAAAGAAUGGCAAAGGCCUUCAGGAAAUCUGUCUUUGGUUGGUAAGUAGCUUCAAAUUCUUGUGAGCUUGUUUCAUCAACUGAGCACAAAGGAUCACAUGUUCCCGAUGAUGUUGUUAGUUCCUCAAGCUGCCGCUCCGAAUUUUCUCUGGCUUUGUCUUCAGCUUUGGCCAGGAUGCAAUUGCGGUAUCUGGGUCCAUUUCUGAAUUUUGGAAAAACAGUCUCAGGCAAAACUAGUUCACUUGGGCGAUUCUUGAAAUGAGUCUGAUUAGGAAAAAGGCACUGGCUUUUGAUUGCAAGAAACAUAGACAUUUUCCUAAUGGAACAAAUUGUCUCAGUCUACUAUGGAAUACUGGAAAACUGAAUUAUCCUCAACAAAAUUCACAAGGGAAUUCC
rnacentral:misc_RNA from 1 species